UUAAAAAAAAAAAAAAAAAAAAAAAAAAAAAAAAAAGAGUUUUCAAGUUUUCUGGGUUGCUGGAUCCCAAUAUGAGAAUAAUACCUACAAACACACUGAAAAUAAGGGAGCAGCAGUGUGGAGCAGCAGUAUAUUCUAAUGAGAAAAUUAUAAGAAAUGCAGCUGUGCUUGCUUUCCCUGCUGAUCCUCAGCCUUCAAAUUCCUCUAAAUUAAAUUGUAAAAUAAUGAUUUCCUAUUCUGGUUUCUACUAAGCAACGUGGUUAAUCCCUGAUACAGAAAUAUAUAAAGAACAUAUACAUUUAGGAAAACAAUUAUUAUUAAAAUAAAGAGGGCCUCAGACCAAAGAGUUUCCACAAUUUCCCAUGCACGUUUGAACCCAGCUCUAAAUUCUCUCUGGGUUUGUCUCCGCCUAAUCCUUUUGUUUAUAACCUGAUUUUCGGGAGGAAAAUCAGCCUGUGAUUUUAACAGGAAAAUUCAGUUGUUGUAGCAAACACACAUACUGAAAUAAUCUGAAACAGCCUGUCUGCCUUAGCUUUUUUAAGCUCAUGAUUAUUUUUUCCUGAUGAUUUCAAAUGACAGCACAGUAAGAACAGCAGACAGGCCGGGAAGAGGAGCAUCUCUCUUACCAACAGCCGUCUAUGCCAGACUGUUGAAAGUAACAGAGCUUCUGAGCGUGUAAGGACUAAACCAUAGAAGAAAUUUUAAUAACUUUAAUUAAAGUUAUUCAGUUAUCCAGGAUUUCUGUGACUUUUAUAAGGUCAUUGAUGUCAGAAGAAUGCAUGUAUUUUAAAUUUCUCAUUUUUCUCAGCCAAAGUGAAGAUGUCAUUUAAACACGCUGCCAGCCUAUACGGCAUUGUAAUUCUUUUUGAAUAGGAGGUGCUUAUUUACGAAGAAGUAAUUGCAACUACAGGCAAGCCUCACAUGGCUCUGCACCACUUGAAUGGCAGUGUUGUUGCUUUUGUUUACCAGGGGCCGGUUCUGAUCUGAGUGCAAAUGGCACAACGUGCCACCAAGUGGCUCCAACCUCCAGUGCUUCUGAGGCAUGGAAAUGGUGAGAAAUACACACCCUUGGUGGAAAAAGGGACACCUCCUUUUUAUAAGAAAUACUAAGUGUUAUAUAACUACCUUUUUUUCUUUUUUUCCCAAAGGGCUUUUAUUAUUACUAAUAUUUUUUAACAUGUCCUCUUUCUCUUCUGCAUCCCCUGUCACCAGGUCAAAAAUUAAGGGGAAAAAAAAAAAAAAAAAAAAAGACUGACAACAAAGAAUUAAUUUGGGACUUUUGAGAGAAGCUAGGAUAUUUAUGGAUUUAUUAUAUUCCCUGGGAUAACAAGUUUCUGAGAUGUUAGUACACUGUCAAAUAUUUUUCAAGGUUAACAGUUUAGGGACACAAUUAUGUUGCAAGUUGUCUGAAAGAUUAAUUAAGGGUAUUUCAGAGAUAUGGGAGAAAAAUUGUUCCAGCAGCUAUUAGAGUGUGAGUAAUCCCAACUGAAAGAGUAGUUCCCCUUCAUUUCUGUCCCUUUCAGAGAAAAUCUUCCUGUGUUUAAGACAUACGCAGGAGCAGUUAAAUGUACGUGCUCAGGCUGAGAGAGGUGCACAGCGGUGGCGAGGCAAUCCUGGGUAUAGCCAAGCAGCAGCUGCCUACUGGUAGCCAGCAAACAGGCAUCCCCUCUGGAAAGGUGAUUGUUAAAUAAAUAUUUCUCAGGGCCAGAAAACAGCAAAAGGCCAGAAAGCAGAGACAGUGAAGGCAAAUGUGAGCACCAGGCUCGCUAGAGCUCCCCUUUGCACCCACCUGGCUGCUGGACAGGUACCAGGAACCUCAUCAUUCAGUUACAAGAGUGAAAUCUUUGGGCUAGUCAAUGACAAGUCAGGGACUGUGUGUGAAAGUAACAGCAAGAUCUAGAGAUUCACAAAUAUGAAAGGUUUUAAAUAAAAAAUCAUUAAAAAAAAAAAAAAAAUCCAGCAAUCCAGCACUUUAAUCACAGCACUGCAACCAAUACGCGUAUCUAUCUAUCUAUAAUCUGAUAUAAUUUUUAAUCCUUUUUUUAAAUCCCUGUCAUUAAUGAGGGAUAACGUUGGAUUGAAGAGGGCCAAAGAGAUUUAUUGAUACAAACUCAGAGACAUGGCUGUAAAUCAGGACAGUGAAGAAGUAUGCCACUGCUGGCUUAUGUUCUCUUCCUGCAAAAGGACAGGGAUGAAUGAACAAGUGUCUGAAUGAAUGACUGAAUAGAUGAAUGAAUGAAAGAAUGAAUGCAUAAUCAAAUAAAUACAUUAAAAUACAUUGCCAGCUUGCUGGGAUCACAUAGUAAAGGAGCUCUUCAGGGCCUUUGUAAAAAUAUAGGCAAAAGUGUCAGUCUUUUUAUUAUAAAUUAAAAUCUGAUUUCCUCUAUUCCUCUGAACGUUUAAUUUUUAUUGAAGGUCAAGAGGUGCUUUGCAUGUGGGGAAGUUGCAGGAUUUGGCUUUCCAAACAUGUAUCCCUAUAUAACUGCAAAUCCUGACCAGACCACCGUGCUCUUGCUGUUCAGUCAGGGCUGGCUGAGGACCCAUGGGUGUCCCCGGGGCCACUGCAGUGAUGUGGCCUGCGGCACAAUCUGGAUGGGAGGACAGAUUUGGGGAAAUCAGCCUGUUUUCCCCAUCCUUGCAAUGCCAAAGACCCUUUCCUCUUCUCAAGCCACAAACAGAGCCCUGCAUUGGUGAUAUCUCUGGGAUAUUUAACAAUAGAGCUGCAAUCAAUAUAUCAAGGUGGUGUCUUUUUCUGAGCAAGGGAAAAGGACAGCUGGUAGCAACCUUCCAGGUAUGCAGUGGUGGUUGUAGGCUUUCCUUCUAAAGGUGCCAGGUAUACAAAGAACACGGCAAAUGCAUCUGUGAGCUCCAGCCUACAGAAACCACUUCUCUGACUUCAUGGGAAAGCUUUUAUUCCUUUUGAAUGGUGAUCCAGUUUGUUGUUGUUGCUUUGAAAAGUGCCUGUUUUGAACUUUGUCAUCUAAUGAGCUGAAAGUCACUGGAAUUUCCUUCUGCUUCCCUCUGUACUGAGACCUUGGAGGAUAAAGCUCUUCUAGCUUAAGACAAAGGUCCUCCAAAUGAGAAUUACAGAGCUACGGCUUGCAAUUUAAUUAUCUUUCAUGCAUUCACACCCAGAUGGAUAGAUUUUUGGAAAGAAAGAAUAUUAAUCAAUGUGAAUAAACUCCUUUAUUUUUUAAAUAACUACACCAGCAGUUUCAUUUCCCACUGUUAAUAUUUCUGUCAGUCAGGUCAAGGAUAAUGAACCAAAAUUCAAGGAAAGCUCACCCAAACCUUGACUUUUCUUAUUAAAAAUGUUCCCAUUCAUAAAACCUACAUUUGCAAAUGCAAAAUCAACAGUUAAAUGUUUGCCUUAUCUAUGUCUGUAUCUCUCCAAGGAGAGAGAAAUGAUCUUUAUCUAGUUUUCACUUAUAAUAUCUGCGGAAGUUUUGGAAGGAAAAACAAGUUUCUAAACUUUGUUACUUGUAUUAUUAUUACCUGUGGGUAAAUAUAUUAUUUGCUGUUAAUAGAACCAGUGUUUUCAUUUUGUAGUAAGAACCCUUUCCAUAUAACUCUACAUUCAUGGUUUAGAUUAGUUUAUGUUCCCACAAUUUUUGCAAGACUCUUUUUUUUUUAUUUAUUUCUAAUUAAAAAAUAAUAAUAAUAAUAAAGCAAAGCCAUAAAUGUACCCUAUAUGGGAACAUGGCCUCUGGAAUAAAAGAAAAUGAAGAAAGUAUAUAUUAUGGAAAGAGUUAUAUGACCAGAAAAGGGCAAUGUGCUUUAGUAGGGCCCAGGUUACAUAUUUUAAGAAACUGCUUCCAGCAGACAAAAUAACUGCUAAAAGCAGGUGUUUAUUCCAAAAGCUGCAGUAAUGUUUUUCUGUCAUGUCGCAUUAAGUCACUCAGACUGCAUCAUGUUAUGUUACACCACAUCAUGUUAGUACAUACAGGGGAGAAGCCAAAGUGGAGUAACAUGAUGUGACAGACAACAUUUAGCAAAAAUAUUCACUUAUUUGACUCAGAUACUUGCUAUCAGUUUGAAUCAGGGAGCAUGGUCCCAAACAAAACUGACAGCUGGAGGUGAACUCACCAAGGAACUCAUCUGGUGUAAAGUUUCUUGCCGUGUACCUGGUGCUCAUCCUGCUUAUGGUUACUGCUAUCCUCAGAUCCUCUUUCUCAGCAUUUCCUUCCCUGCUCUAAGUGGUUUGAGUGGCUGGUUGUCGUUUAUUUCGACAUAACUCAGGACUUCCCCAUGAGGGACUAGUCACAUCCUGGUAUACUUAACAAGCCCUGUUAAAUGACAGUUGAUGGAAUUGCCGUAAAUAGUAGUUUUUAUAUGAGUGAAAUUUUGAACUACCCAAAAAAAUAGAGUGCCUGGGCACUGCGUAUUUAUGUAUACUGAGGGACUAUUUCAGGUAACAAGAAGCUUAUUCUUGAAGGCACCUGUAUUUUAUAGUGUGGCAAAGUCUAUUUGACAGACUUAAAAAUAUUGAGACUCCUUUAUUACUCUUGGAGGAACUAUUUCGUGGCAAUACUUCUAAAAAAGAUUUAACAAAGAAGUGCAUGUUCAUGUAAGUACAUCAAAUAAUCGAGUAUAAUCCAGGGAGCAGUGGUGCAGGCUGUGCCAUAAGCAUUGAUCCUGACCUAAAUGACGACUUCCAACCCACAGGACACCUCUUGGACAGCUACAGAACCAUGAUGUGUUCUGGUACAAUCUGUCCUAGCAGGAAUUAGAAUGAGAGAACCUUGUGCCAAGUAUCAAAGAGGGCUUCAGCAGUGCUAGUGAAGGUGGCUCUAUGGCAUAGGGCCAGACAGCUGAAGUGUGAAAAAAAUUGCAUGUGGACUUGAAGACUUCCCUUUUCCUAGAGGUGGAGCCAAGGAGAUAGGACAAGCUGCCGAGUGUUUUCUGCAUCUCACCAAUAUGGACCUGCAGUGGAAACCUCGGGAGCCUUUCUGCCUCAGGCGGUCUCCUGAAGACGUGUGAUGGGCUCAGACUGUGCAUCAAAGACCAGCAGUUCGUGUUGCCUCGGCCCCACUCUGAGCACAAGCUGGUGUCUGCACCGGGAGCAGCACAGGAGCACUGGGGGCAAAGUGCCAGCACCUCUGGGCUCCCCAAAAUGCAAGGGCAGGAGGCUUCUCCCGGCAGCAAAAGAGGACUGAGAUGAAUGAUGCCUCAUCCGAAGGGAAUAAGACAUAAGUGAGCAUGUCAUUCUGAAGCAGCAAAUAACACUUUGGAGAGAAUUGAAGGAAACACGUUUCUUUGAUUAAAAUAUUUUUCUCAUUAACAGGAUGUUCAAAAUAAAGCAAAAAUAUUUGAUGCGGAGCCUGUGGCAGUAUCGAGUUAACGCUGGCGUGCUCCCGCAUUUUACCUCAUGUUUACUAAUCAAUCAGAAAAGACUCUUGCCGGCAAGAAAGGUCACGUCUUCCAUCACAAAACAGAAACUUUUUGACAAGAAACAAUUGGAAUUUCACCAUUCUGUUUAAUGUGGAUUCUAGCGCAGAGAGUUAAAGCCCCAGGCGGUGGGAAGGGGGGUGUGGGAUUCAGUGAACAUGCAGAGCUGUGCUCUCCAAAUGUUCACUGCUUCAUACUGUGCAUACAGAGACUGCCUCACUAGCAUCAUGAUAUGAUGCUGUUCUUCGAGUCCCAGAAUCAUUUAGGUUAGAAAAGAUCCCUAAGAUCAAGUCUGACCAUCAACCUAGCACCGCCAAGUUGUCAAAUGAUUUGGAGGAUUUGGAGGAGAGGCCAAUCCAGGUGGUGUUUGGGUAGGUACAGGUGUGCAUUUCUGACUCAGAUGCUAAUGGUCUGGGCUGUGAUGCUGCAAGAAGAGCUGCCCUAUGGACUAUGAGAGCAACAGACACUCAGAGAGUGUUGGGCAGUGCUCCUCCUUCGAGUACUCUUAGUUUUAUCUCAGGAUAGAAACAAAAACUCUGGGUCUCUACAAUGACCUUCAAGUUUCCUUGUUUUUGUUGUCGUUGUUCUUAAUUUUUUUUUUUUACUGACCUAUAUCUUGAUAAAGUGCAUUUUCUUAGCCAUUGGAAAAAAAAAAAGAAAAAAAAAAAGGAAAAAAAAAAAAAAAAGCUUUUUUCCCAGAUAGAAGGUACGGCCUGAUUGUUUCACAAGCAAAACAAUGCACAUAUUAAAAGCUCUUGAAAGAGCUGGGGUGGAAUCAGAGAGGUGAUUAUGAAAUGUCACUGAUUCUGCCAUUUUCCCUUCCCCUCCGCUUGCUGCCCAGGCAUCAGCCACCUCCAACGAGUCUGCUGGGUGGUGACAAUAGCAGGAUGCAGUCCCACACCCAGCCGGGAUUUACACCCUUGGUCUCCUGGAGAAAUCAUCGGUAUGAAAAGAUGCACAUGUUGCCGGCAGCUAUAGCACAUAUUGCAUGGCAUGACACACACAUAAGUGAGAUUAAUAUGAGUUCUGGGCAUCAUUAGCUCAAUUAAAAUUGUGAUUUUUUAGUUCAGACCUACAGGCCAUUGUAGAGAAGAGUAAUCAUAAGGUAGAAAUGAGUUCCCUAGUUAAAAAUUAAUUCCCUAGACCAAAAAUAUAAUCAAACGAUGUCUACAGUAUUUUAUGAAGAGCUGAGAGGAUAAUAAAAUUUAAAGCAGUGCAACAUUUGCAUUUUGUUCAUUUCUAUCCAUAUUUUUCCAUAGACUGCCUUUCUCUGUGCUUGUUAAUCAUAUGCACUGCUACAGCCCUGGCAUUUUAAGAUCACUCUUCACAUCAAGAUUGAAAGGAAACUAAUUACAAUCACAUUUCAGGGUGGUUGUUUAAAGCUGGUACAGCACUGACUACAGCACAGGAGCCUUGACCUUUAUUUGUAAGCAUGGAAAUAAGGUAAAGAUGAAAGAUUGCUUUUCCUCCAACUCAUAUGCAGGGAUCAGGAGGCCCUGUGGAGAAUCAGAGAGGUGGGAAGUCCCCAUACAAUUUCUCUCCUCGCCUCCUCUCCUGUGCUGGCAGCAGAGGCCAGUAGUGCUAUGCAGAAGCUGUGCUCCACUGCAGAGAGAGGUGAAGGAAAGCACCACGUAUUUUGCAGCUCCCUUGGGCUGCCAAAGGAACAAGCAGAGAAUUGGCAGACCUCUUCAAACGCCCCUCUCUUUCAGACCCCAGCCCUACUCUUUUUAGUCUAUCGGUCAAUGACAAAUCCUUCCCUGGGGCUGGGCACAAGCACAAGACCAUCAGCUCGGUGCUGUAUGCCGUGCUUAUGCGAUUAUCAAGGUACCAAUGUGCACAGACUACCUGUGAGCAAGAGAUGCAGACAGUAGUGCUAUCUUUUCUGCUGCUCAUGUUAUGGCUUAGUAGCAAUAACAGGAUCUGCGUGGAUGCAUCAGGGGAAGAAUAAGGACCCCUAACCUGAGGAAAUACAGGUAAUCCUAGUGUUGUCUCUAAUUUCAUUAAAAGCGAUUGCAUCUAGAGCAUGCUGAAUGGCAAAUGCACCCAGUAGGUUUAACCUUUCUCUGUGUCUUCACAUUUUCAAAACUUUAAUUUUAAUAUAUUUAUAUAAUACUCAGAAUAAACCAAGAGGUAGUUCCAAAAACAGAUUCAAGCCUAGGACCUGCUGACAUGGUGCUUGCUCUAAAUGCUCUUUUCAGUAUCAUUAUCCAGUGAUCGAACGCUUGCCAUGGUAUGCAACUACCCCCAAGGGAUCUUCUGGGCUCACGUCCUCCCCAUGUUAUCACAGCUCUUCACCACAAUGUGGUCAUUGAGGAUAGACCAGCACUAAGCUGAAGUGAUGCCAUGUGUCAGCCCCUUGCUCUGCGGGCACUGAUCGUACUCACGUCUUGCAUGAGGUGCUGCCCUCACCCUGCACAGUCACUUCAUUUUCCAGUCUCCACUGGCUGGCAGAAAUCACUGCGGGAGCCCCAAGGUCCAGUGGGUUUGAUGGUAACAUCUGCCAGGUCAUUAGCAUUUGCUGGUUGGAAAAGCUCUGGCUGGGGUUUUUAGCAAUGAAAGGAGGGAAACCCAUUUCACACCAGCCCACUACCUCACAUCCUCCACCAGGCACAGGGUGGCGGAGGACCAUGCUGGCCCAGUCUGUACUGGGGAUGAAGACCUGGGCGAUGGAACUGCUGGGGACCUGCCUGCAGCUUCAGCCAAGAGGCGAAGAUGGUUUCACAGCUCUUCUGUGGUGUGUUCUGCACCAGUCAGCGUUCUCUAAGCAGAAAUAUAACCAUGCAAAUAUUUACAGAAACUGGAUCAAAAAAAAUAAAAACUAGUGAAAGCUGCUGCAGUGAACUUCUAAUUACAAAUCCACAAAGUGUUUAUGAAUAAAUUUAUCUAUUAUUUGUCUAGUUCUAGCACUGCAUAUACUUUGCCUUGUACCAUUACAGGCUGAAGGAAACAAUAUGCAGCAUGAAAAUGAAAACAAUUUGACUUAAUUAUUUACACCAUUACCACCCUUUUGAAUUAGACCCUCCAUUUCUUUGGUAUUUUGUAAAACUUAACUGGUAAUUAUGCUUGUUUAAUUCAUUUUAUUUAUCUACUACUACAAUAAGAUCAAAACAAAACAAAACCAACCAAACAAAAAACCUACCAGAAUGCAAAGUGCCAGCUACGUUCCCAAACUGUAAAUGAUGCUUUUAAGCUAUUAUAACAAAAAUGUAGUAUUUUCUACCAUUUCAUUUAAAGUGUGUCUGGAUAUGCUCCAACACUAUUUAAGUGUAAACAGGAAAAGCCUUGGAGGACAAGUAAUCAUACUUAAAUGACACAAAGAUCAUUAAAAUAAUGUUCCAAAAACAUGGCAAAAUUAGACAUUGCAAGACAGUUUUCUUCUUUGAAGUGUUUCACCAGAUGGUGAAGAGUGCUGAAAUAGUAGAUCUGAGAGAGAAGAAAAAACAUUUCAACAGCUUUCUCAUGCUAGCACCGCGCAGCGUGCACAGCUCUCAGCUGAGCUUGUCUGAAGUGCAUCUCAUACCUUGGCCGAAUCAAACGUUGGGGCUGGAGAUAACGUCAAGGUGUUGGAGUGAAGCUUGUGCUGAAUCACGGUCUGGGAAAUCCCUGCUUUAUUCUGUUAAUGCUGUCAAGCAGAUUUAUUCAGAGAUGAGAAAAACUGAGUAUGUCAGCAUAAGUCAUUGUCAUAAUUUGUGAAACUCUUAAUGAGAUAUUUUUGGAGCUCAUAAAGAGGAAGAACUAUGUCAUUAAAUUGCUGCAAAAUAA